rnacentral:rRNA from 1 species
UACAGAGGUCCCAAGCGUUGUUCGGAUUUACUGGGCGUAAAGGGUGCGUAGGCGGUUGGGUAAGUCUGACGUGAAAUCUCCGGUCUCAACCCGGAAACUGCGUUGGAUACUAUUUGACUAGAGGAAUGGAGGGGAGACUGGAAUACUUGGUGUAGCAGUGAAAUGCGUAGAUACCAAGUGGAACACCAGUGGCGAAGGCGAGUCUCUGGACAUUUCCUGACGUUGAGGCACGAAAGCCAGGGGAGCAAACGGG